CGCGUAGGCGGCUUUGUCAGUCGGAUGUGAAAUCCCCGGGCUUAACCUGGGAACUGCAUUCGAUACUGCAUGGCUAGAGUAUGGUAGAGGGAAGUGGAAUUUCCGGUGUAGCGGUGAAAUGCGUAGAUAUCGGAAGGAACACCAGUGGCGAAGGCGACUUCCUGGGCCAAUACUGACGCUGAGGUGCGAAAGCGUGGGGAGCAAACA
rnacentral:rRNA from 1 species